rnacentral:tRNA from 1 species
GCCGCAGCUGGUGGAACCGGCCCUGCUGCACCGGGCCAACGCCCGGGUGGGUGCCGCGUUCGGGGCCGCGGACACGGCC